GCGGGGGUGUCCGAGUCUGGUCAAAGAGGAGAGGUGAAGAGUCUGCGCAAGCCUGCCAGGGUUCAAAUCCCUGCCCCCGCACCA
rnacentral:tRNA from 1 species